UACAGAGGUCCCAAGCGUUGUUCGGAUUCACUGGGCGUAAAGGGUGCGUAGGUGGUUGCGCAAGUCUGAUGUGAAAUCUCCGGGCUCAACCCGGAAAUGGCAUUGGAAACUGCGUGGCUAGAGGGUUGGAGGGGGGACUGGAAUACUUGGUGUAGCAGUGAAAUGCGUAGAUAUCAAGUGGAACACCAGUGGCGAAGGCGAGUCCCUGGACAACACCUGACACUGAGGCACGAAAGCUAGGGGAGCAAAUGGG
rnacentral:rRNA from 1 species